rnacentral:rRNA from 1 species
AGCAGCCGCGGUAAUUCCAGCUCCAAUAGCGUAUAUUAAAGUUGUUGCAGUUAAAAAGCUCGUAGUUGAAUUUCGGGGUCAGUAGGUUGGUCAUGCCACUGGUAUGUACUGGUCUCACUGAUUCCUCCUUCCUGAUGAACUGUAAUGCCAUUAAUUUGGUGUUGCGGGGAAUCUGGACUGUUACUUUGAAAAAAUUAGAGUGUUUAAAGCAGGCUAACGCCUGAAUACAUUAGCAUGGAAUAAUGAAAUAGGACGUUCGAUCCUAUUUUGUUGGUUUCUAGGAUUGACGUAAUGAUUAAUAGGGAUAGUUGGGGGCAUUAGUAUUCAAUUGUCAGAGGUGAAAUUCUUGGAUUUAUUGAAGACUAACUACUGCGAAAGCAUUUGCCAAGGAUGUUUU